rnacentral:rRNA from 1 species
GACGAACCGUGCGAACGUUAUUCGGAAUCACUGGGCUUAAAGCGCGUGUAGGCGGCCCGGUAAGUCCGCUGUGAAAGUCGGGGGCUCAACCCUCGAAUGCCGGUGGAUACUGUCGGGCUAGAGUGCGGGAGAGGCGAGUGGAAUUCCUGGUGUAGCGGUGAAAUGCGCAGAUAUCAGGAGGAACACCAAUUGCGAAGGCAGCUCGCUGGAACGUAACUGACGCUGAGACGCGAAAGCGUGGGGAGCAAACAGG